AGGUAGCGCUUGCGGCGGGCCUAACACAUGCAAGUCUGACGAGUGGCGGACGGGUGAGUAAUGUCUGGGAAACUGCCCGAUGGAGGGGGAUAACUACUGGAAACGGUAGCUAAUACCGCAUACCAUCGGAUGUGCCCAGAUGGGAUUAGCUUGUAGGUGAGGUAACGGCUCACCUAGGCGACGAUCCCUAGCUGGUCUGAGAGGAUGACCAGCCACACUGGAACUGAGACACGGUCCAGACUCCUACGGGAGGCAGCAGUGGGGAAUAUUGCACAAUGGGCGCAAGCCUGAUGCAGCCAUGCCGCGUGUAUGAAGAAGGCCUUCGGGUUGUAAAGUACUUUCAGCGGGGAGGCGUUACCCGCAGAAGAAGCACCGGCUAACUCCGUGCCAGCAGCCGCGGUAAUAC
rnacentral:rRNA from 1 species